UUUUUUUGUACAAAUGUCACAAUCAUAUCGGGUAAAAUAUUUGAAUUUAUUUUUGGUUUAUAAUUUUUUAACACAAAAUUAUCUAUUAAAAAGAAAGGCUUUUUCCAAAAUUGACCUACAACUCAAAGUCAAACACAAAAUUAACCUCCUUUUAUUUGGAAAUUAGUUUUUCCCUAUUCACCCCACAAGUUCAUAUAAUUCACGAAAAUGCCAUCAAUUUUUUUUUUAAUUUUUUUUUUGAAAAUGACAUUUUUACUCUCUCACCCUCAUCAUCUUUAAGUAAUUACAAGAUUGUCAUUGUCAUCAAUACCAUUACCACCAUGAACAACCGAUUUGAACCUCUUAAUGCUUCCAAGAUCGAUUUACCCUUCUUCUUUCUCCAUUCUUAUGAACUAAAC
rnacentral:lncRNA from 1 species